rnacentral:miRNA from 1 species
GACGUCGAAUAUCGACGUCAUACACACCAAAGUUGAUCGUUUUUAUGACGUCGAAUAUCGACGUCAUCAACACAAAGUUGAUCGUGUUUAUGACGUCGAAUAUCGACAUCAUGAACACCAAAGUUGAUCGUGUUUAUGACGUCGAAUAUCGACGUCAUAAACACCAAAGUUGAUCGUGUUUAUGACGUCGAAUAUCGACGUCAUACACACCAAAGUUGAUCGUGUAUAUGACGUCGAUUAUCGACGUC